rnacentral:rRNA from 1 species
ACAGCAGUCGCCGCGGUAAUACAGAGGGUGCGAGCGUUAAUCGGAUUUACUGGGCGUAAAGCGUGCGUAGGCGGCUUUUUAAGUCGGAUGUGAAAUCCCUGAGCUUAACUUAGGAAUUGCAUUCGAUACUGGGAAGCUAGAGUAUGGGAGAGGAUGGUAGAAUUCCAGGUGUAGCGGUGAAAUGCGUAGAGAUCUGGAGGAAUACCGAUGGCGAAGGCAGCCAUCUGGCCUAAUACUGACGCUGAGGUACGAAAGCAUGGGGAGCAAACAGGAUUAGAUACCCGUGUAGUCCCUGUCUCUUAUAC